GACGAACGCUGGCGGCGUGCCUAAUACAUGCAAGUCGAGCGGGGUUACUACGUCAGAUUCCUUCGGGAAGACGAUGUUUUAACCUAGCGGCGGACGGGUGAGUAACGCGUGGGUAACCUGCCCUAGAGACCGGGAUAACAACGGGAAACCGUUGCUAAUACCGGAUGCCUUUACAGGGAGGCAUCUUUCUGUAAAGAAAGCAUAAGCGCUCUAGGAUGGGCCCGCGUCCCAUUAGCUAGUUGGUGAGGUAACUGCUCACCAAGGCGACGACGGGUAGCCGGCCUGAGAGGGUGACCGGCCACACUGGGACUGAGACACGGCCCAGACUCCUACGGGAGGCAGCAGUAGGGAAUAUUGCGCAAUGGGCGAAAGCCUGACGCAGCGACGCCGCGUGAGUGAUGAAGACCUUCGGGUCGUAAAACUCUGUCCUCAGGGAAGAAAAUUUGACGGUACCUGAGGAGGAAGCCCCGGCUAACUACGUGCCAGCAGCCGCGGUAAUACGUAGGGGGCGAGCGU
rnacentral:rRNA from 1 species